UACGGGGGGUGCGAGCGUUGUCCGGAAUCACUGGGCGUAAAGCGCACGUAGGCGGCUCGGUAAGUAGGGGGUGAAAUCCUGCGGCUUAACCGCAGGGCUGCCUUCUAAACUGUCGAGCUUGAGCACGGUAGAGGCAGAUGGAAUUCCCGGUGUAGCGGUGGAAUGCGUAGAGAUCGGGAAGAACAUCAGUGGCGAAGGCGGUCUGCUGGGCCGUUGCUGACGCUGAGGCGCGACAGCGUGGGGAGCAAACAGG
rnacentral:rRNA from 1 species